GACGAACGCUGGCGGCGUGCUUAACACAUGCGAGUCGAACGGAAAGGCCCUGCUUUUGUGGGGUGCUCGAGUGGCGAACGGGUGAGUAACACGUGAGUAACCUGCCCUUGACUUUGGGAUAACUUCAGGAAACUGGGGCUAAUACCGGAUAGGAGCUCCUGCUGCAUGGUGGGGGUUGGAAAGUUUCGGCGGUUGGGGAUGGACUCGCGGCUUAUCAGCUUGUUGGUGGGGUAGUGGCUUACCAAGGCUUUGACGGGUAGCCGGCCUGAGAGGGUGACCGGCAGUGUGGGGACGGAGGACCGGGCGAGACUGUGACGGGGGGCAGCAGGGGGGAAUCUGGGACGGGGGGGGGAAGACUAAGGCCGCAUGGCGGCGGGAGGGAGAGCGGUGGCCGGGUGGGAGACGGCUGUCGUGUGGGAAGAAGGGUGAGUGAGGGGAGUGGGUAAAGAAGCAACGGAUAACUACGCGCGAGGCGCGGGGGUCAUGAUCGAGAGCAGACGUCCGAAC
rnacentral:rRNA from 1 species